CGUACAGGUCUCCGUAGGUGAACCUGCGGAGGGAUCAUUACUGAGUGAGGGCCUUCGGGCUCGACCUCCAACCCUUUGUGAACACAACCUGUUGCUUCGGGGGCGACCCUGCCGUUUCGACGGCGAGCGCCCCCGGAGGCCUUCAAACACUGCAUCUUUGCGUCGGAGUUUAAGUAAAUUAAACAAAACUUUCAACAACAGACCUCUUGGUUCUGGCAUCGAUGAAGAACGCAGCGAAAUGCGAUAAGUAAUGUGAAUUGCAGAAUUCAGUGAAUCAUCGAAUCUUUGAACGCACAUUGCGCCCCUUGGUAUUCCGAGGGGCAUGCCUGUUCGAGCGUCAUUUCACCACUCAAGCCUCGCUUGGUAUUGGGCGCCGCGGUGUUCCGCGCGCCUCAAAGUCUCCGGCUGAGCUGUCCGUCUCUAAGCGUUGUGAUUUCAUUAAUCGCUUCGGAGCGCGGGCGGGUCGCGGCCGUUAAAUCUUUCACAAGGUUGACCUCGGAUCAGGUAGGGAUACCCGCUGAACUUA
rnacentral:rRNA from 1 species